rnacentral:rRNA from 1 species
UACAGAGGGUGCAAGCGUUGUUCGGAAUUAUUGGGCGUAAAGCGCGUGUAGGCGGCUUUUCAAGUCGGGUGUGAAAUCCCUCGGCUCAACCGAGGAAGUGCGCCCGAAACUGCAGAGCUUGAGUACCGGAGAGGAUGGCGGAAUUCCCCAAGUAGAGGUGAAAUUCGUAGAUAUGGGGAGGAACACCGGUGGCGAAGGCGGCCAUCUGGACGGAUACUGACGCUGAGGCGCGAAAGCUAGGGGAGCAAACGGG